CCUACGGGGGGCAGCAGUGAGGAAUAUUGGUCAAUGGACGCAAGUCUGAACCAGCCAUGCCGCGUGCAGGAAGACGGCCCUAUGAGUUGUAAACUGCUUUUGUACGAGGGUAAACGCAGAUACGUGUAUCUGUCUGAAAGUAUCGUACGAAUAAGGAUCGGCUAACUCCGUGCCAGCAGCCGCGGUAAUACGGAGGAUUCAAGCGUUAUCCGGAUUUAUUGGGUUUAAAGGGUGCGUAGGCGGUCGGUUAAGUUAGAGGUGAAAUCCCGAGGCUCAACUGCGGAAUUGCCGCUGAAACUGGUCGGCUUGAGAGUAGUAGAGGUAGGCGGAAUGUGUGGUGUAGCGGUGAAAUGCUUAGAGAUCAUGCAGAACACCGAUUGCGAAGGCAGCUUACCGGACUACUACUGACGUUGAGGCACGAAAGCGUGGGGAGCAAACAGGAUUAGAUACCCGGGUAGUC
rnacentral:rRNA from 1 species